ACAGUCACUGACAUUAGAUACCCCUGUAGUCCAGGGUGUAAACGCUGCAGACUUGGUGUUGGAGGCCCUUUGGGGGCAUUCAGUGCCGGAGAGAAGUUGUUAAGUCUGCUACUUGGGGAAUACGUCCGCAAGGAUGAAACUUAAAGGAAUUGGCGGGGGAGCACCGCAACGGGAGGAGCGUGCGGUUUAAUUGGAUUCAACACCGUAAAACUCACCAGGGAAGACUGUUACAUGAAGGCCGAGAUGAAGACUCUGCUAGAUUUUCAG
rnacentral:rRNA from 1 species